rnacentral:rRNA from 1 species
UCCCGCCUGCCCAGUGACUCUUUAAACGGCCGCGGUAUCCUAACCGUGCAAAGGUAGCAUAAUCACUUGUCCCCUAAAUAGGGACUAGAAUGAACGGCUAAAUGAGGACAAAACUGUCUCUUACGGAUUAACCAAUGAAAUUGAUCUUCCAGUACAAAAGCUGGAAUAAACCCAUAAGACGAGAAGACCCUGUGGAGCUUUAAAGCCAAAACCACUAAACAUGGCCCUUGGUUUUUUAGUUGGGGCGACUUUGGAGCAAAAAAAACCCUCCAAAACAUAAAUCCGUUCAUUAAGAAUAACACACCAAAAACAACUUUAUAGACCCAGCAAUAUUUUAUUGUCUGACCAAUGAACCAAGUUACCCCAGGGAUAACAGCGCCAUCCUCUUCUAGAGUCCUUAUCGACAAGAGGGUUUACGACCUCGAUGUUGGAUCAGGACACCCCUAUAGUGCAGCCGCUAUAAAAAGUUCGUUUGUUCAACGAUUAAAGUCCUACGUGAUCU